GCCGGCGGCAGGCCUAACGCAGACAAAUGGAACGGAGCCUUCGGGUGUAGUGGGGGACGGUGUAUUAAAAGGUGGGAUCGUCCCUUUCAUUUCGGAAUAGUCCCGGGAAANNGGGUUAAAACCGGUAUAGACCGUAGGGGGAAAAGUAUUUCGGGGUAGGAUCGGCCCGCGUUNGAUUAGGUAGUUGGUGGGGUAAUGGCCUACCAAGCGUUCGAUCCAUAGCUGGUUUUAGAGGAUGAUCAGCCACUCUGGGAGUGAGACACGGCCCAGACUCUUACGGGAGGCAGCAGUGGGGAAUCUUGGACAAUGGGCGCAAGCCUGAUCCAGCCAUGCCGCGUGAGUGANGAAGCCUUANGUAGUAAAGCUCUUUCACCAGGGACGAUAAUGAC
rnacentral:rRNA from 1 species